UUCUUUGUUUCUAGGGAAGUUGGAUAAGAAACAAAAGUAUCAUUUCUGAUCAAAACAAGAGUAGUUUUGGCUCAUGGUGGAAGAUGCAUGGGAAACUAGGAUUGCCAGAUGCAGACGGAACUUAACAUUAAAGACAUUCCUGAAAGAACUAUUAUAGGAACUAAUGCUAUUUGGGAAAAAAAGAAAGGAACUAAGGAAUUGCAAGAAGGGAUGGUGAAUGAAGAAAUUGUUUAAGAUGCCUGGUCUGUAUGGAAUUGCAUCAAUGGAUUUCUUCGUUCUCUGGCUUCUAGUUGGUUUUGUCCAUUGAAAAGCCACAGCAGGGGACUGGAGGAGAGGAGAACAACAAAGGUCGGGCGUCUAUUACCCAGUCACCCUUCUGGGUUUAUAGCAUCUCUCCUCUGCUAUCCUUUGUACCUGUUGCGCCCAGCCCGAGGUUUCCAUGGCCUGCCUUCUGGUCCUACACCCACCUUUGUAAA